UGAAGCGCCCUCUGUUCCUCCACAGGUUCCACCCACACCAUCACCCCCAUCAAAUUCUUAACGGACCUGCAGCACCCUGACUUCCGAGAGUCCACUAGGGUGUCCUUUGAGGAGCCAGACGCAGGCUCAGACGAGUGAGACAGACAGAGAGAGGGAGGGAGGGAGAGAGAAAUCACACUCUGACAAAGAUCAACCCACGUCUUCACCCCCACCGCCCUCCUGGAACAGCUCAAGACCAUGAACAAACCAGACGAGGAACCAGCAAGCUAAAAUCACCCAGCCCCAUCUAUCUAUCUCCUUUCCUCUACCCUACACAUCCCCCAAUCACCCUCCCAAAAAUCCUUCAUGAAUUGUGAAAGCAUCUCAUCUUGCACGAGAAGAAUAAAAAUAUAAAACAAUGAUAGCAUUGGUGAGAAAAAUAUAUGUUGAAACAGAAAUAAAAUCAUGUUGCAAGUAUUCUCAUGUUUUACAAUGGAUGCAAAUAACGGAACUUAUUUAAAAAAGGUUUAAAUAUCAACUAAGGUCAUUUGAAACUGAAAGUACCAAAUGUAAUAUUGUAUGCUAUGAAACCUGCUAGAAUGUGUAAAACGUAGAGGUUUUCUCUGUUCCCUCAGUUUAUCUUAUUGGUGUGAUUUUUAUUGGUAGUGGGUGGAGGAGGGAUGCCUUACUGGAGUUGGUUGGCACUAGGAAAGUCAAUGCAGUAAGAUCAUAUCACUCAACAUGCAAUAUAACUCAUCCCUGUCCUAUUAGGGGGGAGAAUCCGAGCUGGUCAAGACAUUUGUAUCAGUAGCAUACAGGGAUGGAACCUAAGGAUUUUGGGCACUGACCAGCCAGGCUAGUAGACCGCAAUUUUUACUAGUCCAAAAUCUGUGCCAUGCGAUAUUUGAAAAUACAACAUUUCGCUAGCCGUUGGACUAGUUGGGCACAUUUUCUACUAGCCCGGUCUGAAAAGUACUAGCCAUAGGCUAGCAGGCUAGCUUAAUUUCCAUCCCUGGUAGCAUGCCUGAACAUUGUGUGGACUGUUACUGUAUAUCCUUUAGUAUGGCAAUAUUGAGACCAAGCAACCCAGGAUAUCCUUUAAUCACAGUGCUAUCUGUGAGUUAGACAGUAACAAACAGCCAAACUGACCCUAGGUCUGAGGAUAGAGAAAAACGGGACUCUGUAAAUAGCUACAGAAUGGUAGAAGCAUCCUUCCUCCAGCCAUAAGACCAGAAGUAUUUACUCACCACAUUCUUUUCCUUUUCUCUGGAGAGAUUUCACGGUUGAGUGUCAAAAGGCCAUUGCUUGCAGAUGUUUAAAGAAUAAUCAUAAAGGGCCGAUUUGUAUUUCAGUAUUGUAUCCUGUCACAUUGUAAGUCUUAUCAUUGGUUAGUAUCAAAAUGUUUAUCCGGGUCAUGCACUGAGUAGUGUGUUGUGUAUAUGCCAUAUGUUGAUGUUUUAGUGUCUCACUCUUGACUGGUGAUGUUUCUGACUGUGAAGUAGUAAAAGAUUUCCUUUAAAAAAUGCCAAUGUGAAGUCACGUGUUUGUGAUGUUUUAGCUGUAGCUGUAGUGGUCAACUGGGAAAAGAACUAAUAUCUAUAUUUUGUUUGUCUGUCCGUUAGUUUUAUCUUCUGGUACAUUUUAACUCUUCCAAUGGUGAAUGGCUUUGCAAAGAAAAUGUAACCCCAAUAUUUCUAACAUUUUAUUUCUAAUUUUUUCCUCUCUAUUUCCUGGCAAAACAGGUUGUAUAUUGAUAGCACUAUGCGUUUUCUGUUAUGCCAACAAUUCAUUUCAUUUUUUCUAUUAUCAGUUGCUGUUGUAAAGGGUUCACUGUCUAUUCAAUUAAUUUAUAUCCAAGUUAUUUGUCAGAGGGAAGAAAUAUUAAUAAAUGAAACAUAAGUCUGUCCUAAACCGGUUUAACUUAUUGGGAUUCUAUAUUUGCAAGUGUUGAAGCACAAACAAAAGUAUACUUCAUGUGUACCAAUGUACUAAGGCUGUCUAAUAAAUUGGCUUCCAUUACAAGGA